AGUGAACGCUGGCGGUAGGCCUAACACAUGCAAGUCGAACGGCAGCACAGUAAGAGCUUGCUCUUACGGGUGGCGAGUGGCGGACGGGUGAGGAAUACAUCGGAAUCUACUUUUUCGUGGGGGAAACGUAGGGAAACUUACGCUAAUACCGCAUACGACCUACGGGUGAAGGCAGGGGAUCUUCGGACCUUGCGCGAUUGAAUGAGCCGAUGUCGGAUUAGCUAGUUGGCGGGGUAAAGGCCCACCAAGGCGACGAUCCGUAGCUGGUCUGAGAGGAUGAUCAGCCACACUGGAACUGAGACACGGUCCAGACUCCUACGGGAGGCAGCAGUGGGGAAUAUUGGACAAUGGGCGCAAGCCUGAUCCAGCCAUACCGCGUGGGUGAAGAAGGCCUUCGGGUUGUAAAGCCCUUUUGUUGGGAAAGAAAAGCAGCAGGUUAAUACCCCGCUGUUCUGACGGUACCCAAAGAAUAAGCACCGGCUAACUUCGUG
rnacentral:rRNA from 1 species